rnacentral:lncRNA from 1 species
CUGAAAGUUACCAUCUUUGCACAGUUCUGUGUGUCCUCAAGGAUUUCUCUUUCUCUCUAGUUUCUAGAAACUUUUUUUAGUUUCCAUUGUGAGAGGUGGAAAUUGGUAACAGAAAAUAUGCUUUUUCUUUGUUUACAGAUAUAUUUGGAUUUUAAAAAAUGGCUCCACGGUGCCUCCCCAUUUCCUAGUUGAGUAUGGAACAAAAACCAUUCCCUUGAAGCUAAGGAGAAGGUGCAUCGUGCAAAUCUUUGUGGUGCAGCAGGAAAACAAAACAAAUGCAGUGACAUGUCACCUUGAGCUGUUGGAAGAGGUGUGGAAGCAUCAUCUGACACUCUCAUCCCCAACACCUGUUGAAGCUCCUCCAACCUCUCCCAUACAACGUAAAUCAGGCAUGCUUACAUCACUCAGUCAGCACUGCAGAGUCCUCUGCGCUCCAUCUCAGAGAUGCUGAUAACCUGCUCACUUAUUCAAGUUCACUUAGUGGCCAGUGCACAAUGAACUGGAUUGAGGGGUUAUUGCUGUCUGUUCUUUACUUACCUGCCCUAAUACAGGGUCACGCAGGCAGGCCACCACUGCGGGCAACCGGUGCUCACUGGGCAGAAAUUAAUGUAAAAAUGUGCAUUAUGGCUGAGAACGGAUGCCAUGCACACCACACCUUCUCUCAGGACCCUUUCCAGGCUUUCAAACCAGACUGUUGCUGCUAGCCCCACCAAAGAGCUGCUUCCUGGCCAAGAAGAGCUGGAGCUCUACUAAUGCAGCUGUACUUAAGAAGGAGCCCUCACGCCGAGGAGGAUGGAUGCUUUCCUGGUGAGUCAGACUGAUUGCAGUCAUCCUAUUCUCUUGCUCAUGGUGCAUGCUGACCACAGACAUAACAACAGCUGCUGCCAGCUCCUUCUCCUUGCCAUGCCAGAAAGUAGAGUUUUACCCUCUCCUGCAGAUAAUGAAUAUACUUACACA